UACAGAGGGUGCGAGCGUUAAUCGGAAUUACUGGGCGUAAAGCGCGCGUAGGCGGCUUUGCAAGUCGGGUGUGAAAUCCCCAGGCUUAACCUGGGAACUGCAUUCGAGACUGCAUUGCUAGAGUAUGGGAGAGGGAAGUGGAAUUUCCGGUGUAGCGGUGAAAUGCGUAGAUAUCGGAAGGAACAUCAAUUGCGAAGGCAGCUCGCUGGGACGUCACUGACGCUGAGACGCGAAAGCGUGGGGAGCAAACAGG
rnacentral:rRNA from 1 species